UACGGGAGGGUGCAAGCGUUAUCCGGAUUUACUGGGUUUAAAGGGUGCGUAGGUGGGUAGGAAAGUCAGUGGUGAAAUCUUCGGGCUUAACCCGGAAACUGCCAUUGAUACUAUUUAUCUUGAAUACUCUGGAGGUAAGCGGAAUAUGUCGUGUAGCGGUGAAAUGCUUAGAUAUGACAUAGAACACCAAUUGCGAAGGCAGCUACUACAUAGUUAUUGACACUGAGGCACGAAAGCGUGGGGAUCAAA
rnacentral:rRNA from 1 species